rnacentral:tRNA from 1 species
GCCGAGGUGGUGAAAUUGGUAGACACGCUAUCUUGAGGGGGUAGUGCUAAAAGCAUAUGGGUUCAAAUCCCAUCCUCGGCA